rnacentral:ncRNA from 1 species
CCCGUACGGCAACCGCCCACGGGCCGGGAUGUGGACCUGAUUCGAGGACGUCCUCGAUGCGGUCUGAACCACGAA